GCAGAGAUGUGGAGCGAAUCCCAAAAAUAAACGUCCCAGUUCGGAUUGUAGUCUGCAACUCGACUGCAUGAAGCUGGAAUCGCUAGUAAUCGCGAAUCAGAAUGCCGCGGUGAAUACGUUCCCGGGUCUUGUACACACCGCCCGUCACACCAUGGGAGUCGGGAAUGCCCGAAGUCAGUGACCCAACCAUAUGGAGGGAGCUGCCGAAGGCAGGUCUGAUAACUGGGGUGAAGUCGUAACAAGGUAAC
rnacentral:rRNA from 1 species